rnacentral:rRNA from 1 species
GACGAACGCUGGCGGCGUGCUUAACACAUGCAAGUCGAACGGAAAGGCCCCUUUGGGGGUACUCGAGUGGCGAACGGGUGAGUAACACGUGAGUAACCUGCCCUUGACUCCAGGAUAACUUCAGGAAACUGGGGCUAAUACCGGAUAGGAAUCCUUGCUGCAUGGUGGGGGUUGGAAAGCUUCGGCGGGUUUGGAUGGACUCGCGGCUUAUCAGCUUGUUGGUGGGGUAGUGGCUUACCAAGGCUUUGACGGGUAGCCGGCCUGAGAGGGCGACCGGCCACAUUGGGACUGAGAUACGGCCCAGACUCCUACGGGAGGCAGCAGUGGGGAAUAUUGCACAAUGGGCGGAAGCCUGAUGCAGCAACGCCGCGUGCGGGAUGACGGCCUUCGGGUUGUAAACCGCUUUCAGCAGGGGCGAAGCUUGUGGUGACGGUACCUGCAGAAGAAGCACCGGCUAACUACGUG